AUACUUUCCUGGUGUAGGGCUUCCGUGAUCACGUAGGUGGUUUCCCCAGGGUCAGGUUGCUCCAUUGCACUGCGGAUUGGUUGACCCUUGCGAUUAUACUUAUUUUUAUAAGUUACACUUCUACCGUGGGUGACACACAUUUUUUUUCAUGGGUGCUCGCAGCUUA